UCUCCAACAAGAUGGCCAGAACCAUUGCUUUCUUUUACACCAUCUUCCUGCAUUGCCUGGUCUUCCUGGUGCUGUACAAGACUGCCUGGAGUGAGAGCAUCGGUCGAGACUGCUCUGCCUUCUGUGCUAAGAAGUACUCGGAUCACCUGCAUCGU